GUGUCAGCAGCCGCGGUAAUACGGAGGGUGCAAGCGUUAUCCGGAUUUAUUGGGUUUAAAGGGUGCGUAGGCGGCAUUUUAAGUCAGUGGUGAAAUCCUGCAGCUUAACUGUAGAUGUGCCAUUGAAACUGAAGUGCUUGAGUUAUCUUGAGGUAGGCGGAAUGUGUAGUGUAGCGGUGAAAUGCUUAGAUAUUACACAGAACACCCAUUGCGAAGGCAGCUUACUAAGGAUAAACUGACGCUCAGGCACGAAAGCGUGGGGAUCGAACAGGAUUAGAUACCCUGGUAGUCCACGCCGUAAACGAUGAUGACUCGCUGUUGGCGAUACACAGUCAGCGGCUUAGUGAAAGCGUUAAGUCAUCCACCUGGGGAGUACGCUCGCAAGAGUGAA
rnacentral:rRNA from 1 species